GACGAACGCUGGCGGCGUGCUUAACACAUGCAAGUCGAGCGGUAAGGCCCUUUCGGGGGUACACGAGCGGCGAACGGGUGAGUAACACGUGGGUGACCUGCCCUUAGCUCUGGGAUAAGCCUGGGAAACUGGGUCUAAUACCGGAUAUGACUCCAUGACGCAUGUUGUGGGGUGGAAAGCCUUGUGCGGCUAGGGAUGGGCCCGCGGCCUAUCAG
rnacentral:rRNA from 1 species